AUGGGGCUCUCCUUCGUGGUGCUGAUAUGGUGUGCCGCUGCCGGUGAGAGCAGGCAGGAUGCGAAGGCGGAGGUUGCCGCUCCCGCAGCUGCUCGGCCCUCUCUCCCUUGGUGUCGAGUUCUUCUUCGACCUUGGCCGUACACCGAGAGAGGAAAGGACACGAUGGAUGUCAACAUGAGAAGGGCAGAGGACGUGCUGGCGCACAAAUGGCUCCUGGAGCUGGCUAAGGAUUCGGUGCAGCGCCAGGCUUUCGCCGUGGGGAUCGUGCAAGUGAUUUUUUUGUCCCUCCUCGCGACACUCGGAAUAAUAUAG
rnacentral:rRNA from 1 species